CCUUGGCUGAACAAUGACAAAACCUUAAUAUACCUUAUGCAUUUCUCUAAUUUAUUUAAUAUGUGUUUGUGUGAAUCAUUCUGUUCAUUCAGGGCAUGGUCUUCAUCCCAACUAUGUGUCAUUGUUAAUACCAGUUUACAGGUUGUUAUCCUUGCUAUCAUCAACUUGAAUACAUUACAGUUAAGUUCUAAAUCAAUUUAGCCUUUUGUUUAUUUUACUUUAUUCCUCUUGUAUCUAUAUGUAUUCAGUCGGGUCUGUUUCCAGCCCUUUUAAACUUCUACUUUGAUCUUGAAUUUUUCACUUGGUGAGGGAUUAUUAUGUUCUUCCUGAUCUGAACUAUUCUCUUCACCUGAGCUGCUAUCCUGUUCUGAGUCACUGUCUUCUUUGUUUGUUAAUGCUUUUACUCUUUUUUGCCUGUUGUCCUCUCCAUUCCUCUCCCCUUCUUUUGGAUUAUUCCUGCUCCGGUUUGUUGUUUUUCUAACCAUCCCUCAUCAGGUGUUAAUUUUGCUUGUUUAUUCCCCAUUUUUAAAGAUUUUGCUGGGCCUUCACUGACACGCUUGACUUCAGAGUGGUUUACUGAUACGGCCUUCGACUUGACCCUAAAGGUCAAGCGGUAUCAGUUUUAUGAGACGAAGCUCAACCGUUCUCCUCUGUCACCAACGUCUCACUGGUGGUUCGGAUCGCCAGACUGAAUCCCACCGCCGUGGACCAGACUAAAAACACCGGCCUGGACCCGAAUUUUAGCGUCCCAGGUCUUUCGGCCUCGUCUAAGAGGGCUGUGCAUAGACUUCGGUGCUGGCUUCCCACGGCGUCAGGAAUCAGUGCUGGAUCCUGGAACAGAGUCACAGAUAACAGUUCUGAUAUUUCUGCCCCGGCUUCGAAGGACCAAAAUAAAUGUCAAGAGAUUUAU